GGGCCUCUGCUAAUGGUGGAGAGAUCAAGGAAGAAAAGAGCAACGUUAAAGUGAGGCUGUACCCACAGAUCAUGCUCAAGCAAAUUCGAACCGUGAGCGCAUUUCUCUUAAACAAUGAACACUUAGAAUAAAAAUUAAAAUUUCCCACAAAUUUCUAAUUUUAAAAUAGUUUCCCAAGAUUUCAGUGGUAUUGUAUAUAUGCCCAUAUAAUUUUUUGGAUUACUAUUCCCACAAGUGUAAGAUGAAAGAGGACCUGCCCUCCAUUCUAUCUACUCCCUCUCUGCAAAGGCCAUUUUGAAGAUCUCAGUUUUACUGAAAGGGGUCUGCCACACAUAACUUCCCUGGUGUACCAGCAACAAGUGUUCAGUGGACCAUGGCAACACAAAGAAUGACGGAGGAGAGAAAAUGCCAUGCAGAAGUGAUAGUCAAGAUGAAGAUGUGGGAGAGGAGCAGCCCCCAGUAUAUAUUCAGUGUGUCCUCUGAAGUAACAACCAUCCCAUCUGGCUGAGAAGUGAUGGACACGGCUCCUUAACCACACUGUACCCUCUGUUCUUGGCACCUCUCUACCAGAAAGAUAUCAACAAAUUGGAUGGAAUUCAGAGAACAGUAAGAAAAAUGAUUAAAGAGAUGGAGGCAGUGACUUAUGAGGAAAGAUGAAAAGGACUAAAUCUAUGUAGCUUGGCAAAGCAACAACUGAGUGACUUCCUAUUAUCCUUCUCAAAGUUAUUGCUGCAGAGGAAAGAAGCAUACAUCUUUUACCCACCAGGAAACCCCCAAAGCAUCUAUUACCAUAAUAGCCAUGGGAAACAGAAGGCACCUCAAAUAAAGGUGGGGAAAAGAAUGAAAGAAAUGGCUUUGGCCUGUGCCUGUUUGACCUCUGAGAGAUACUUUUUGCAAGAAAUUGUUAAGUUUUGGCCCAAAAAGUGGUCGGUCUUUUAUCCUUCCUUGUGGAGGCCAAACUGCAAACCAGGAUGAAGAAACCAUCAGUGGCAGUUUGGGGAGGUGGAGGAGGGACUAUCUAGACUCAGUGAAUCACCAAGGAAACAUGAGGCCU
rnacentral:lncRNA from 10 species